rnacentral:rRNA from 1 species
AGAGUUUGAUCCUGGCUCAGAUUGAACGCUGGCGGCAUGCCUUACACAUGCAAGUCGAACGGCAGCACGGGGGCAACCCUGGUGGCGAGUGGCGAACGGGUGAGUAAUACAUCGGAACGUGUCCUGGAGUGGGGGAUAGCCCGGCGAAAGCCGGAUUAAUACCGCAUACGAUCUCUGGAUGAAAGCGGGGGACCGAAAGGCCUCGCGCUCAAGGGGCGGCCGAUGGCAGAUUAGCUAGUUGGUGGGGUAAAGGCCUACCAAGGCGACGAUCUGUAGCUGGUCUGAGAGGACGACCAGCCACACUGGGACUGAGACACGGCCCAGACUCCUACGGGAGGCAGCAGUGGGGAAUUUUGGACAAUGGGCGCAAGCCUGAUCCAGCCAUGCCGCGUGCGGGAAGAAGGCCUUCGGGUUGUAAACCGCUUUUGUCAGGGAAGAAAUCUUCUGAGUUAAUACCUCGGGAGGAUGACGGUACCUGAAGAAUAAGCACCGGCUAACUACGUGCCAGCAGCCGCGGUAAUACGUAGGGUGCGAGCGUUAAUCGGAAUUACUGGGCGUAAAGCGUGCGCAGGCGGUUAUACAAGACAGAUGUGAAAUCCCCGGGCUCAACCUGGGAACUGCAUUUGUGACUGCAUGGCUGGAGUGCGGCAGAGGGGGAUGGAAUUCCGCGUGUAGCAGUGAAAUGCGUAGAUAUGCGGAGGAAC